rnacentral:lncRNA from 1 species
CAGAAACUGAAUUGGUGAGUAAGGGUUGGUUAAAAAUGAAAGUCUCUGGGAACUGCACUAUGAUCAGUGGUGACUCUCCCUCUCCUGGGGGAUUGGUGAGGGUUGGACAUGCCUUUCUGACCAGAGUGGUAUCAGAGGUACUUGGAAGGAUCAGAGGUCUGCAAGCCAUUUACCUUAAGAAUCCUAUAACUGUUGGGUGUUGGAUUUAAAUGAAGGUUACAGUCUGGGAAUUCCCUGUAUAGGAAAAGCAACUUUUUCCUCUUGCUUUCUGGAAUUGACUUAGGCCUUUGGUCAUUGAUUGGAUGUAUCUGUGAUACCAUGAGCCUGGAAACUUUUCAGAAUUAUAAUCUUCCCCAUCCUAUAUUGGAUAAAACACCUGGAUCUGCACUGUCCACAGUAAGAGUUUUCUUUUCAACCAUUUGAACACAGUCUGACAUCCACCAUGAAGCUCUCCCUGUAAUGACGCAGGUCAGCAGAGGCUCUUUUAGGAACGUUAGUGGGUUCAUGGGGACACGGCCUCGUGUUGGGGACCCCUUUCUUGGAUAAUCAGCCUAUGCUCAUGAGAUGAUUUUUAGAGGGAUAGCCUUUGGUACUGCAGUAUUUUCCCUGUCUGAGGUACUUGGGACACCACUCUUGCUGCUUCUUACACACUGGUGUUCUGGAGCUGGUUCUAACCGUGGUUA